rnacentral:lncRNA from 1 species
UGCAGUUCCUGCGACGCCCCUGCAGCAGCAGCAGCGUGGUCAGAGCGAGCUUCUGAGCGGUGGUUCAUCUGCGUUGCUCUAAAUGGGACUGUUUCAUUAUUUUGAUGGCUGAAGAAUAUUUCCUAGUCUACUUUGAAAUAUAUGAUACAUUUGUGUUAAGGCUAGUCACGCUGCUGUGGAAUAGAAGGCCAGAAUUGAUCACUAUCAUCUGAGAGUAACUUUGUACCCAUCACUGAUUCCUUCCGAGACUGCCUCCACUUCCCCAGCAGCCUCUGAUUUCUUCAUGUGGCUGCAGAUGGCAGGAUUUCCCAAAGGUUUAUGGCUGCAACAUAUUCCGUGGUGUAUCUGUACAGCAGUUUCCUCAUUCCUGCAGCUGUGUUUGAACAGGUCAUUUACCAUGCGGUCCUCCAGGUUCAACAGUAUGGCUCCAAAUGAUGAAAUUUCAUUCUGAUUUUCUGGCUGAAGACUAUUCUGUUUGUGUAUGUCCACCACAGUUACUUUAUCCCUUCAUCUGUGGAUGGGCAGGAAACUCCAAACUGUCCAAGGGAUAGUUCUGUUGUGAUUACUUCAUUGAGAAAUUUAACUUAUGAGCAGUUGAAAGGAAUGCAAGUUGCUGGAAAAUCAGAAUGAAGAGUGCAAAAUGACCAAGCUACAAUGUAU